rnacentral:rRNA from 1 species
GACGAACGUUGGCGGCGUGCUUAAUACAUGCAAGUCAACUGAAGCAGUGGUAGCAAUAUCGCUGUGGAGGUGGCGCACGGGUGAGUAACACGUAGGUAAUCUGCCUUCAGGUCUGGCAUAACUCCGGGAAACCGGGGCUAAUAGCAGAUGAUGCAGCGGCUCGACAUCGAGACAGUUGUUAAAGCUAUGGCGCCUGAAGAUGAGCCUGCGUCUGAUUAGCUAGUUGGCGGGGUAACGGCCCACCAAGGCAACGAUCAGUAGCUGGUCUGAGAGGAUGAUCAGCCACACUGGAACGGAGACACGGUCCAGACUCCUACGGGAGGCAGCAGUAAGGAAUAUUGCUCAAUGGGAGAAAUCCUGAAGCAGCAACGCCGCGUGAGGGACGAAGGGCUUUUGCUUGUAAACCUCUGUAGUGAGAGAAAAAAAUCCCAAUCUUUGGGACAUGAUGGUAUCUCAAAAGUAAGCCCCGGCUAACUACGUG